rnacentral:rRNA from 1 species
UACGUAGGUGGCAAGCGUUAUCCGGAUUUACUGGGUGUAAAGGGCGUGUAGGCGGGAGAGCAAGUCAGACGUGAAAUUCCAGGGCUCAACCCUGGAACUGCGUUUGAAACUGCAGGACUUGAGUGGAGUAGAGGUAGGCGGAAUUCCCGGUGUAGCGGUGAAAUGCGUAGAGAUCGGGAGGAACACCAGUGGCGAAGGCGGCCUACUGGGCUUUAACUGACGCUGAAGCACGAAAGCGUGGGUAGCAAACAGG